GCCUACGGGAGGCAGCAGUGAGGAAUAUUGGUCAAUGGGCGGAAGCCUGAACCAGCCAAGCCGCGUGAGGGAAUAAGGCCCUACGGGUCGUAAACCUCUUUUGCCGGGGAGCAAGGGCCGGGACGAGUCCCGGUCCGGAGAGUACCCGGAGAAAAAGCAUCGGCUAACUCCGUGCCAGCAGCCGCGGUAAUACGGAGGAUGCGAGCGUUAUCCGGAUUUACUGGGUGUAAAGGGCGUGCAGCCGGAGA
rnacentral:rRNA from 1 species